rnacentral:rRNA from 1 species
GCUAGAGUCUUGUAGAGGGGGGUAGAAUUCCAUGUGUAGCGGUGAAAUGCGUAGAGAUGUGGAGGAAUACCGGUGGCGAAGGCGGCCCCCUGGACAAAGACUGACGCUCAGGUGCGAAAGCGUGGGGAGCAAACAGGAUUAGAUACCCUGGUAGUCCACGCUGUAAACGAUGUCGAUUUGAAGGUUGUUCCCUUGAGGAGUGGCUUUCGGAGCUAACGCGUUAAAUCGACCGCCUGGGGAGUACGGCCGCAAGGUUAAAACUCAAAUGAAUUGACGGGGGCCCGCACAAGCGGUGGAGCAUGUGGUUUAAUUCGAUGCAACGCGAAGAACCUUACCUACUCUUGACAUCCAGAGAACUUAGCAGAGAUGCU